rnacentral:rRNA from 1 species
CCUACGUGUGACAGCAGUGAGGAAUAUUGGGCAAUGGACGAGAGCCUGAACCAGCCAAGUAGCGUGAAGGAUGACGGCCCUAUGGGUUGUAAACUUCUUUUAUAUGGGAAUAAAACGUUCCACGUGUGGGAUUUUGUAUGUACCAUAUGAAUAAGGAUCGGCUAACUCCGUUACAUCAGCCGCGGUAAUACGGAGGAUCCGAGCGUUAUCCGGAUUUAUUGGGUUUAAAGGGAGCUUAGGUGGAUUGUUAAGUCAGUGGUGAAAGUUUGCGGCUCAACCGUAAAAUUGCAGUUGAAACUGGCAGUCUUGAGUACAGUAGAGGUGGGCGGAAUUCGUGGUGUAGCGGUGAAAUGCUUAGAUAUCACGAAGAACUCCGAUUGCGAAGGCAGUUCACUGGACUGCAACUGACACUGAGGCUCGAAAGUGUGGGUAUCAAACAGGAUUAGAUACCCCUGUAGUC